ensembl:lncRNA
GUAAGAUCCGAGUGAGCAGGAAGAAGAUGGGCCUCCAAUUCCCCUUGCCAAAAGAAGUAUGUGACCAUGUGUGCUUGGGGGUGGAGGGUCGGAAUCCCCAGGCGGUCCCGGGACAAUACGCCGACCACACUGCAGCUCUACAUCAGAUCUCCAGGCAUUUAGAUCCCAGAGGUCAGGGACCCCUGAAGAAGUAGAGGGAAAUAAUCCCACAUUGGAUCACAGCCCGUUUCAUAAUUUCAAGAAGAGAUGGAAAGCUGCAUGAUACGGUUGUUCCAAUAUCCAAGCCAAAGCAACAAAUGACCUUCAGAAUCCCAGGACAUAGUAAGUGGACAAGGGGAACUGGAUUUUACACAAGGGAUGAGUGUGGUGAUCCUCCUCACAGUCUAAAGAAUCCAGCCCAUGAUAUAAACCUGUAUAAAUCCAUACAUAGGUUCUUAACCAAGA